UACCGGCGGCUCGAGUGGUGACCACUUUUAUUGGGCUUAAAGCGUCCGUAGCUGGAUUGUUAAGUCUCUUGGGAAAUCUCACGGCUUAACCGUGAGGCGUCUAAGAGAUACUGGCAAUCUUGGGACCGGAAGAGGUGAGAGGUACUCCGGGGGUAGGAGUGAAAUCCUGUAAUCCUCGGGGGACCACCUGUGGCGAAGGCGUCUCACCAGGACGGCUCCGACAGUGAGGGACGAAAGCUGGGGGAGCAAACCGGAUUAGAUACCCGGGUAGUCCCAGCCGUAAACGAUGCGCGUUAGGUGUAUCGGCGACCACGAGUCGCUGAGGUGCCGAAGGGAACCGUGAAACGUGCCGCCUGGGAAGUACGGUCGCAAGGCUGAAACUUAAGGAAUUGGCGGGGGAGCACCACAACGGGUGGAGCCUGCGGUUU
rnacentral:rRNA from 1 species